rnacentral:lncRNA from 1 species
GGUCGGCGAACAAACCCAUCCAUCUCACUACGCCGGCGUUGGUGGCCUCUGCACCUUCGCCGGUGGCUCCCCUCUAACCCUUUCCUCUUUUCUAUUUGCUCCCCCCUCAACCCUUUGUCCUGUAGCCAUUUUGUCAAACCCUAGAACGCCGUCGGAGUUUAACGCCUUCGAUUUGGAGAUCCAGUGUCAGAUCGGAAGGAUGGUGGUCGUCUCCGGUGUCUAGACGUCGUUGUGGUGUCAAGGGAAGAGGUGGAGUCGGUUUUUCGAGUGGCUGGUCUGGCGGACAAUUUUCAGAUCUGUUUCCGUUCCGCCGGUAGAUGGUCGUCGAAAUGAGUCUCCUGUCACGGUUCUGGACUCUGGUUCUGCGGCGGUGUGAGGGAAGUCGUUGUCUUUGUUCUUCCGUGGCCUUGGUGCCUCGGCUUCGGAGUCAUUUUCAACUCUUCUCAAGACGAGUCUCGAUGGCUUCGGCCUUCAGGACGCACAGCGAUGGUGGGUCUCUCAAGCUUGUCUUGUCGUAGUGGCGGUUGUAUCAAGCCCGUAUUUUGCAUCUCUGGUCGGUAAUUAGCGUGUUGAUAGGACUCUUGUAUCUUUGUGUUUGUGAGUCUUGAUCGGUAUGGACUAAGGUAGUAAGUGUUUUGAUAGUUGUGACUUAGCAGUCUCUCUGUGAGGAGUAAUGUUUCCAUUGGUUGCUUGCCGUUUCGUUCUUCUCCUGUGAGUGUUUAUGGAGAGGUUCGGUUGGCAAGGCUUCAUCUUCUUCGUGUUUGGGUGGACUUCUUUCUUUGAUCGUAGAAUGUUUAUGUAUCCAAGGUGCGUGGACCGAGCAGCGUGUUCCCCUUGUCGAGUUUUGAAGUCUUUGGGUUUUGAUCUUAUCGUUUGGCGGGCGAGGCAGCACCGAUGAGUGUGGUUUGUGUGCAGAAGUGGAAGGUACCGGGUGGCGGGCUAUGGGCAGCAGCGGUAACCCCGAUCAUUGGCAUUUUCUCCUUUCUAAAGACUGCUAGGUGUUAUGAUGCGGCUCUUGCGUAGAUGUUAAAUGUUUCUGUUUCUACCGUGGAUCUAGUCCUAUGUUUUAUGUUUUCUCGUAUGUCACCCUUGUGUGGGUUUGAGUCACCCCAGUGUGGGUUCUAGUUGCUGCUUCCUAUGGACUCUUGGUUCUGGGGCUAUUUCGUUUGGUCGCCAACUUUUGUAUGAAUAUUGAUAUUUUG